UACGUAGGGUGCAAGCGUUGUCCGGAAUUAUUGGGCGUAAAGAGCUCGUAGGUGGCUUGUCACGUCGGGUGUGAAAGCUUGGGGCUUAACUCCAGGUCUGCAUUCGAUACGGGCUGGCUAGAGGUAGGUAGGGGAGAACGGAAUUCCUGGUGUAGCGGUGAAAUGCGCAGAUAUCAGGAGGAACACCGGUGGCGAAGGCGGGUCUCUGGGCAGUAACUGACGCUGAGGAGCGAAAGCGUGGGGAGCGAACAGG
rnacentral:rRNA from 1 species